GUCUAUGGCCAUACCACCCUAAACAUGCCUGAUCUGGUCUGACCUCGGAAGCUAAGCCAGGUCAGGCCUGGUUAGUACUUGGAUGGGAGAAUGUCAAUCAGAUC
rnacentral:rRNA from 1 species